rnacentral:lncRNA from 1 species
UUCAUUAGCAAAUAUAAACAGGUACAUCCAUCAGUUAAAUUCACUACUACAAAAAGCCAGCAAACACCACUACAGACAACUAAAUCAACAAGAACCAAACCCCUCAUGUUCAGUAGUAAAAAAAUUAUUCAUAAAAUUUGGAUACACGAGAUAUUGGGAUCUAUUUUUGUCAAAGGUAGAAAUAUUAAAUUUCCUUCAAACUUGGCAAAAAAAAAAACGAAAAGAAAAGAAAAACUAAACCAGCAAGGACAUGCCCCUGAAGAAUUCAAACCAAGCACCUAUAGAAAAAUUCAAACUCAGAAGAAGUUCAAGGAGGCUUCCAAGCAACCACCAUCAGCAGAACCAGGGGGCGAGGGGUCAUAUGACUCCACUAAAAUUCUACACAGACUAUAUAUUAAUACAUAUAUAAAUAGUUAAUAUAUAUAUAUAUAGAGAGAGAGAGAGAGUCCGGAUCAGGUCCGGAUUCCCGGAUCAGACCAAAAUUCGAAUUUUUUUUUCUAAAACAACUAAAAAAAAUAAAUAAAAA